GUGGCUUGUUCAGGUUCUCUCUGGUGUAUCAACAGGGAAACAAGGUGAGGUCCCGGAAGGAUAUGUGCAAAUUCAACCUCGGGUGAUUCCUCGAAAGUCAAAACCUCCUCCA
rnacentral:ribozyme from 1 species